rnacentral:rRNA from 1 species
AGUGAACGCUGGCGGUAGGCCUAACACAUGCAAGUCGAACGGCAGCACAGUAAGAGCUUGCUCUUACGGGUGGCGAGUGGCGGACGGGUGAGGAAUACAUCGGAAUCUACUUUUUCGUGGGGGAUAACGUAGGGAAACUUACGCUAAUACCGCAUACGACCUACGGGUGAAAGCAGGGGAUCUUCGGACCUUGCGCGAUUGAAUGAGCCGAUGUCGGAUUAGCUAGUUGGCGGGGUAAAGGCCCACCAAGGCGACGAUCCGUAGCUGGUCUGAGAGGAUGAUCAGCCACACUGGACCUGGGACACGGUCCAGACUCCUACGGGAGGCAGCAGUGGGGAAUAUUGGACAAUGGGGGAAAGCCUGAUCCAGCCAUACCGGGGGGGUGAAGAAGGCUUUCGGGUGGUAAAGCCUUUUUGUUGGGAAAGAAAAGCAGCAGGUUAAUACCCCGCUGUUCUGACGGUACCCAAAGAAUAAACACCGGCUAACUUCGU